GGGGCGUGCAAAAAUUAGGGAGAAAGAAGGUUGGGGUGUGGAGAUCUAAUAGACAUAAAACUAGGUGUCUGGGUUAGAGCAAAGAGAAGAAGAAGAGGGUCUUCUUCUAGAGUUGCUGGGUUCAUCUCUUUCCUUCCUCCAUCUAUAAGUUUUCUGAGAGUGUCUCAUCUAAAACUCCUUCUCAUCUUUGGAAGAGUCCAAAUCAAGAAGAAAGAGAUAUCUGAUCGACCAUCGAUGAAGGAUCAGUGCAGUACUAGCAUAC
rnacentral:lncRNA from 1 species